GAAAAUUUCAAUACAGAGACAUAUUUUUGUUGUCUUAUGAAAAAGUAGGAAAAUUUUAGAAAACCUAACAUCACAUGUAAUUCUUUCUUUAGCUUCUAGAGUUCUGAAACUACAAUAAUCAGUUUCCUUUCUUUAGCUCCAAAAAUAACACAACGAACAAGAACUCAUCGUCCACGGCCCAAACAUAAAAGCACAUUAAGCCCAAAGAUACCUCACACUAAACCAGAUUUUGGACCUAUUACUCCUGGACCAUCUUUAGCUCCAACAAAAAGUACCCACCAUCCACAUCCCAAAUCUAAACCCACGUCCCAUCCAGAAGUACUUCAGACAAUACUAGUUCCUGCCACAAUUGCUGAACCAGUUAUUCUUAGAACCGAGGCUCCAGGAACAACACUAGUUCCUACUGAAGUCUUUGAACAAGUUACUCCUGUAAAAGAGGUUCCAGAAACAGCAAUCGGUAAUCCCACUUGCCUACCUUCAGCAUUUUCUCUACUACUGUUAGACUUAUUCUCUGCUGACAUCUAAUUCAUUCUUCAUUUUAUGAGAGUUGAACAUACAUACACAGCAUAUUGUCUCUUGUUUGUAACAGAGCCAUGCAUCAAUCUAUUUUGUGAUAUCACCUGCCUUAUAACUUACUUAAAAGUUUUUCAUAUCACUGUUUUUUAUUUAACCAGAAUUCAUUAUUAGAGUAAAUUUCAUAUAUCUUUAGGAGUAUCUGACUCAGAUGUAUGCAAAAUAAGCUACUACAAUAGGAAAGUUUCUCUGUGCCUCCUUUUUAAUCUAGCUUUUUCUUGUUUGUUAAUGUUUGAGUAAUGAUUUUAGUGUGAAAUAAAUAACCGAUAUUUAUGAUACAGCUCAACAGAUUUAAAUAACAAACCACAUUAUACUGUGCAACUGACUUCUCUCCCUCUCCACCAUAGUUUAGAUGACUCUCAACCUUUCUAAUCAGGUCAAGGAACUCCAGUAAGAUGACUUAUAGAAAAUACCAAUCUUGACUUUCUGAAUUGAUAACUUUAUUUUAUAGGUCAAUUUUGCCCCCAAAGUGUUUUCAGUAACAAAAGUAAAUGCAUCACCAUAUUAGGGAUAAAACUUUUGCACUAGAAAAAUACAUUUCUUGAAACUCAAGAAAAUUGGUUAGGGUUUGGAAAACCUGAAGAUUUUUAAAACUAUAAUCUGCAGAACCAGAAGCUCGAAAAUAACUAAAGGUUAUCUCUUUUUACUUUGAAAAAAUGUUCCAAAGGAUGCAAACAUAAACUUACAAUCACUCCAAGUCCAGAUGUACCUUAGAGGACACCAACAAAUACAGCAUCUUUGGUUUAAGGGACUUGGGAGCCAGUCAUCGGUGAAAAAUGUAACAUACCUCCUAGUGAUGGAAUCCUGAGGGUCUAUUAUGUGCUCAUGUUUGGUAAAGAGUUUAUGUUUUAAAAAGAUGUAUAGAAUCUUUCCUCUAACUAGAGGUGAUAGGAAAGAUGUUUUGCUUCUCAGUCAGCCAGGUAGAUGAAUAAUUUUUAGUCAUUUCUUCUGCUUGGAUAUUUCAAAACUUUUUCUGCAAACAUAAGUUCAUAAACCUAGUAGCUGUCAUCUUUAUUUAGAGUCCAAACAAAUGUAAGUUAACCUUUCAUGUGCUUUUUGAGAAUGGUUAGAAACACGUUUAAGUACACAGGUAAAAAUGUCCUAGUUGAAGUAUUUCUUAUUGGAUUCAGAUGAUCAAGUACUGUAAUUAGAGGACCUGUUUGCAUCUAGUAAUGCUAAAUGAGACCAAAGAUGAUGAUGAUCUCAUGAGAUGGAAUACCUAACUAUACAGCCUAAAAUUAUAUAAAAUUAUAUAUAAUAUACAUAUAUAUAAUUUGAGGCAAUAUUUCACUGGCAAGGUUCAUUUUGAAGUUAAUGUUAUUGCUCUAUCUAUCUAUCAUCUAUCUAUCUAUCUAUGUUUUUAAAAAACUCCAAAGCUCUUUUAUUUUGUUACUUCAGUUCCUGGUACAGAUGCUGAACCUGUUACAGAACUUGAACCUGUUACUUUUAGAACUGAGACCUCUGAGAUGACAUUAGGUAACAAGCCUAUGCUCCUUGACAAAUGCUUUUGCUGCUCAUUGUAUUUCAGUCUCUGUCUCCACAACAUGUCUUUUCCACACUUUGAGAUGAUUUCCAUCAUCUUCUGCUGCCAUUCAGUUACUUU
rnacentral:lncRNA from 1 species